UGGGGAAUAUUGGACAAUGGGCGCAAGCCUGAUCCAGCCAUGCCGCGUGAGUGAUGAUGGCCUUAGGGUUGUAAAGCUCUUUCACCGGAGAAGAUAAUGACGGUAUCCGGAGAAGAAGCCCCGGCUAACUUCGUGCCAGCAGCCGCGGUAAUACGAAGGGGGCUAGCGUUGUUCGGAAUUAUUGGGCGUAAAGCGCACGUAGGCGGAUCGAUCAGUCUGGGGUGAAAUCCCAAAGCUCAACUCUGGAACUGCCUUUGAUACUGUCGAUCUAGAGUAUGGAAGAGGUGAGUGGAAUUCCGAGUGUAGAGGUGAAAUUCGUAGAUAUUCGGAGGAACACCAGUGGGGAAGGCGGCUCACUGGUCCAUUACUGACGCUGAGGUGCGAAAGCGUGGGGAGCAAACAGG
rnacentral:rRNA from 1 species